ensembl:ncRNA K12F2.4 ncRNA
GAGAAGCGGGCAGGCACACACGUACGCUAUGAAGCCGGAGCAAGAGCUUCUCCUGCCGUUUGAACUGCGGCUUCUGCUGUUGGCAGGAAAGAUGAUGAGAUUUCUUGGAAUUUAAGAUUGAGAUAUUUGACGUCCCACAUUU